AAAUUGAAGGGUUUGAUCAUGGCUCAGAUUGAACGCUGGCGGCAGGCCUAACACAUGCAAGUCGAACGGUAACAGGAAGCAGCUUGCUGCUUUGCUGACGAGUGGCGGACGGGUGAGUAAUGUCUGGGAAACUGCCUGAUGGAGGGGGAUAACUACUGGAAACGGUAGCUAAUACCGCAUAACGUCGCAAGACCAAAGAGGGGGACCUUCGGGCCUCUUGCCAUCGGAUGUGCCCAGAUGGGAUUAGCUUGUUGGUGGGGUAACGGCUCACC
rnacentral:rRNA from 1 species